AACGCUAGCUACAGGCUUAACACAUGCAAGUCGAGGGGCAGCAUUUUAGUUUGCUUGCAAACUAAAGAUGGCGACCGGCGCACGGGUGAGUAACACGUAUCCAACCUGCCGAUAACUCUGGGAUAGCCUUUCGAAAGAAAGAUUAAUACCGGAUGGCAUAGGAUUGUCGCAUGAUAAUCCUAUUAAAGAAUUUCGGUUAUCGAUGGGGAUGCGUUCCAUUAGGCAGUUGGUGAGGUAACGGCUCACCAAACCUUCGAUGGAUAGGGGUUCUGAGAGGAAGGUCCCCCACAUUGGAACUGAGACACGGUCCAAACUCCUACGGGAGGCAGCAGUGAGGAAUAUUGGUCAAUGGACGGGAGUCUGAACCAGCCAAGUAGUGUGAAGGAUGACUGCCCUAUGGGUUGUAAACUUCUUUUAUAUGGGAAUAAAGUUCUCCACGUGUGGAGUUUUGUAUGUACCAUUAUGAAUAAGCAUCGGCUAACUCCGUGCCAGCAGCCGCGGUAAUACGGAGGAUGCGAGCGUUAUCCGGAUUUAUUGGGUUUAAAGGGAGCGUAGGUGGACUGGUAAGUCAGUUGUGAAAGUUUGCGGCUCAACCGUAAAAUUGCAGUUGAUACUGUCAGUCUUGAGUACAGUAGAGGUGGGCGGAAUUCGUGGUGUAGCGGUGAAAUGCUUAGAUAUCACGAAGAACUCCGAUUG
rnacentral:rRNA from 1 species